AUUGAACGCUGGCGGCAGGCCUAACACAUGCAAGUCGAGCGAGCGGCGGACGGGUGAGUAAUGUGUGGGGAUCUGCCCGAGAGAGGGGGAUAACUACACGAAACGGUGGAUCAUACCGCAUAUUGUCGGAUGAAUCCAUAUGGGAUUAUCUAGUAGGUAAGGUAAUGGCUUACCAAGGGGCCGAUCCCUCUCUGGUAUGAGAGGAUGACCAGCCACACUGGGACUGAGACACGGCCCAGACUCCUACGGGAGGCAGCAGUGGGGAAUAUUGCACAAUGGGCGCAAGCCUGAUGCAGCCAUGCCGCGUGUAUGAAGAAGGCCUUCGGGUUGUAAAGUACUUUCAGUCGGGAGGCGUUACCGGCAGAAGAAGCACCGGCUAACUCCGUGCCAGCAGCCGCGGUAAUUC
rnacentral:rRNA from 1 species